GGUCUCUGCUUGGCAUUGGAGCUGUCCGAGGAAAUACUGAAACAGCUCUCUUGGCUGCCUGUUUCAUUUUGCCUUGAGCUGUGCAAUGAUGGGGCCAGCCCUCUGACCACCUCGUACCUCCUAGGAGGAGACAAGCGGAGAGACCGCCAGCAUGAAUCCUCGGUUACAGCGCGAGAGUGAUGUGCCAUGGAGGUAAACGGAGCAAGGCAGAAACUUGGCUCUCUGUUGGAACCGAGAGGAAAACACAGGUGCCUUCGGGUCUUGACAGCAAUUGUCAGGGCUUAGAUGGUUCUAAUAGCUG